rnacentral:rRNA from 1 species
UACGUAGGGGGCUAGCGUUGUCCGGAACCAUUGGGCGUAAAGAGCGUGUAGGCGGCUCGAUAAGUCCGCUGUGAAAGUCCAGGGCUCAACCCUGGGAUGCCGGUGGAUACUGUCGGGCUCGAGUCCGGAAGAGGCGAGUGGAAUUCCUGGUGUAGCGGUGAAAUGCGCAGAUAUCAGGAGGAACACCAAUGGCGAAGGCAGCUCGCUGGGACGUGACUGACGCUGAGACGCGAAAGCGUGGGGAGCAAACAGG